rnacentral:rRNA from 1 species
UACAGAGGUCUCAAGCGUUGUCCGGAAUCAUUGGGCGUAAAGCGCGCGUAGGCGGCCCGGUAAGUCCGCUGUGAAAGUCAAAGGCUCAACCUUUGAAUGUCAGCGGAUACUGCCGGGCUAGAGUCCGGAAGAGGCGAGUGGAACUCCUGGUGUAGCGGUGGAAUGCGCAGAUAUCAGGAAGAACACCAACGGCGAAGGCAGCUCGCUGGGACGGAACUGACGCUGAGGCGCGAAAGCGUGGGGAGCGAACAGG